rnacentral:rRNA from 1 species
UGGAAUGAGAACAAUUUAAACCCCUUAACGAGUAACAAUUAGAGGGCAAGUCUGGUGCCAGCAGCCGCGGUAAUUCCAGCUCUAAUAGCGUAUAUUAAAGUUGUUGCAGUUAAAAGCUCGUAGUUGGAUUUUAGUAGGAUUUCAGAGAUAGGUCGGUUAGGAAACUAAUCUUGUACUUGUUUCAUCUUACUUGAUUUACUGGUUACUCGACUCUGUUCUUUAUUGAAUGGAGUAGUAUCGCAAGGUAUCAUUAAGAAUUAAAUUGCUUAUAAGAGUAGGAUCAGGGUAAAACUUGGUUUAAUGCUUAUGAGAGCACAGUUUGAUUUUUAAUGGGGUUCCAGUUCAUUUACUUUGAGUAAAUUAGAGUGUUCAAAGCAGCCUCUUGGGGCAUUGAAUAUUAUUAGCAUGGGAUAAUAGAAUAGGAUUUCUCUUAUAUUU